UCCCUGGGAUGUUCGUUGAAGGUAAUGUCCCUGUGCCGAUAUUUACAAACUUAGGGUAGCUGUUUUUACUGACAUUGAGCAUGCUCGGUUUUCCGAGAAGCCUUAGGAGGUAAUCAGUUUCCCGCCUUGAACCUACGGUUCAAGGGCUACACCCGAGACGGCAUCCUGGGGA
rnacentral:other from 1 species